rnacentral:rRNA from 1 species
AUGAACGCUAGCGGCAGGCCUAACACAUGCAAGUCGAGGGGCAGCACAGGUAGCAAUACUGGGUGGCGACCGGCGGAUGGGUGCGUAACGCGUAUGCAACCUACCAUUGAUUGGGGCAUAGCCCGAAGAAAUUCGGAUUAAUACUCCAUAAUAUUCAUCAAAGGCAUCUUUUAUGAAUUAAAGCUUUUGCGAUCAAUGAUGGGCAUGCGUGACAUUAGUUAGUUGGUGAGGUAACGGCUCACCAAAACGAUGAUGUCUAGGGGUUCUGAGAGGAUUAUCCCCCACACUGGUACUGAGACACGGACCAGACUCCUACGGGAGGCAGCAGUGAGGAAUAUUGGUCAAUGGACGCAAGUCUGAACCAGCCAUGCCGCGUGCAGGAUGACGGCCCUAUGGGUUGUAAACUGCUUUUCCACGGGAAGAACCCUCCGACGUGUCGGAGACUGACGGUACCGUGGGAAUAAGCAUCGGCUAACUCCGUG